rnacentral:lncRNA from 1 species
AAUAUUAAAUAUUUCAGGUAAAUUUUUUGUUCCUAACAAAACUGUUUCCAUAAGUACCUUAAGCCGUGUGAACUAAAAUAUGAUCCAAGUGCAGUUUUAAGAGCUACAGUCAAGUUCAGCAGCAUCCAUUGCUCUAAACUGAACUGAGUCAUUGAGGUUAAGUCUUUGCCUUUAGGAUGGAAACCAGGUCAACUAGCAAUUAAAGGGACUGACGCCCUGUGAAAAGAGCCCUGAACAUGCAUCUGCCAUUAACUAUCUCAACCAGCUACGUGACCUUGGGGAAGACACCUUUCUGCCUUUCUUUCCUCUCUGUAAGAUGAGACCCAGGAGGUGGAUCCUGCUGGUCCCAGAAGGUGCUGUGUCUGUCAAGUGAAAUAGUGGCUGUAGGAGAGCUUCGGAAAAAAUAUUUUAUGUAAGAAAUAUUAAGUACACAAUAAACACUACUUCCAUUAAGCCAUGAGCUGAGUCACUUAGACUGGCAAUGAGGUAAAUGAUGAAGGACAAAAGGUCAUGGCUGAUUAGAUGUCCUCCUGAGCUGAGUCACUCUCCUGGGGCCCUCUUUUCAUUGGGGUGAGUCAACAGAGGGUGACAGCGAAGGGCCUGUCAGGUGAGCAGCAGGGGAGGGAGGGGGUUGGACUUUAGGAAGUGAUUCAUGCGGUAGAAGGUGAGUGAAAAGGUAGGAACAAAUAGGCAGCUAAGGAUACUCCAUCAGUGAGAAUUAUGGUUUCAUUCCAACAGUCACUCUCCUAAUAUGCCCUGGGCACCUACUAUGCGCAAGGUACCAGGCAGGAGGCUGUGGGGGAUUCUGGCUGCGUGGCAUAGUUCUUGCCCUUGGUCAUGCUUUUUUGAGCUCGGUUUUCUCAUCUGUAAGAAGAAAGGGUUGGACUUCAAUGGAACAUCUUCAGCACAGUUUACUACCUACCAUUCCCUAAUCUUGUGCCCACCUCAGACAUCAACAUCAGUCCCGGCAUUGUUUCUUGUUGAUCCCACCGUUGACCUUGUCACGUUUGUCAGUGUCAUGCCCUAGGUAACCACCAUCAAUCAGUAAGAAUUAACAGUUGAAAUGGAAUCUAUUUGCCACCCCUGGUCUGGAAGAUUUCAAAAGGUACCAUCAAAAUCCUAAGAUUAUCUUCCUUACACAGCCUGCCGAUGUUUAGUGGCAAUGAUUUAAAACAACUGAACAUUUGGAAAGCACUCAUAAUACCUUUUGUUAGAUGAGAGCUCUGGGGAAUAGGGCACCAGACUAAUGAAGUACUUAAAACGUCUCACACAUAGCCCUUGGCAUUCCAGAACUAACUGAUGGGCUGUUGGGGUCUGACCUCCGGAUAUAGAGAUAUCAUCUGGUUUCUCCUAAAUAUAAGCUGCACUACGUGAUUUUAAAACUAUGCCACAAGCAAGGGAGAAAGAGAACAUUUAGCAAUAAAAAGAUACAGCUAUUGGCAGCAAUGCACUAUUAGAUCCCUGUGGAAUUUUUGAAGUUAUGGUUGUUGAGAUGGCACUGCAAAGACAUACAGCUCUGAGCAUGAUCUCCUUUAGCCUCCUGGACCUCACUGGGGAAGGGCACAUUAGCAGUCUGGGUCCGUAGCAAGGAAUUGCAUAUUUGCAUACAUUACCCAGUGUGAGUGAUUUACGGGAAGCAUAUUGUUCAUGAUUGCACUGAUUAGGACUCUAUGAAUAGAUGCUGAUACAUAUUGUCCUGGGUUGUUCUAUUUAACUCUGGACUCUAAAUUUCUUUGCCUGGAGAAAUCAAGACAUUCAAAAGAAACAACACAUUUUGAAUACACACUAUUGAUUUAUACCUGCAAAAAAGGACAAUAGCUUUAAGGGGAAUCAGGGCCCCUUUUGGCUGGUGUGUUCCUUUUGAUAUCGUUUGAAACUCAGUGUCCUUCCACACAGAAUUCAUAAAUUAAUCCAGAUGGAGAUGCUCUGCUUUUGUUCUGUCUGCAAGUAGCUGUGAUUUUUUCCAGAAUUUCCUCCCUGGCUUAAGAAGACAAUCUGACGACACUGCUUUGGUGCAGCAAAGGUAGAGCUACCUAAGGUAGUCCAGGGAGGUCCACCCAAGAAGGAAGCUGCAGCCGUGUGCAAUUCAUCUGUGGUGUCCUGUGCACAUUUUCAUUUUUCCCUCCCUGCACUUCUCAUCUCUGUGUAGCAAACACAUAUGAGCACUUGUAUUAGUCUGCUAGUGCAGCCAUAGCAAAAUACCACAUACCGGUGGCUUAAAAAAUCAGAAUUUAUUUUCUUACAGUUCUUGACGCUCCAAGUCCAAUAGCAAGGCACCUGUAAAGUUGGUUCCUCUGAGGACCCUGAAGGAAGGAUCUGAUCCAGGCCUUUCUCCUUAUCUUGCAGAUGGCCACUCUCUUGCUGCCCCUUCACGUGGCAAUCCUGUGUCUCACUCUGUGUCCUAAUUUCCUCUUCUUAUAAGGACACCAUUCGAAUUGGAUUAGGGCCCACCCUAACGGCUUCAUUUUAAUUUUAUUACCUCUUUAAGGGCCCUAUCUGCAAAUAUAUCCACACUCUGAGAUACUGAGGCUUUAAUAUAUGAGUUUUGGGGUAAUAGAAUUCAGCUUGUAAUAGCACUCAUUAUGAUUUAGGUUCUCUUUCUAAAUUCUUCAUGCAUAUUAUUUCAUCUAAUUCUCACAGCAACUCUAGCUCACAGUAAGCUAGGUGCUAUUACUGGCAAGAAAACAGAGAUACAGAGAGAAGAUCUUGCCCACCCAAGAUCUGAAACAUACAUGUAUGCAGUUAUUUUAUUUGACAAAGAGUCAUGUCUCAUUUACGGCCAUACCACCCUGAACAUGCUCGACCUCAUCUGAUCUCAGAUGCUAAGCAGGG